rnacentral:rRNA from 1 species
UACGUAGGGUGCAAGCGUUGUCCGGAAUUAUUGGGCGUAAAGAGCUCGUAGGCGGUCUGUCGCGUCUGCUGUGAAAACUCAGGGCUUAACCCUGAGCUUGCAGUGGGUACGGGCAGACUAGAGUGCGGUAGGGGAGACUGGAAUUCCUGGUGUAGCGGUGAAAUGCGCAGAUAUCAGGAGGAACACCGGUGGCGAAGGCGGGUCUCUGGGCAAUAACUGACGCUGGAGGUGCGAAAGCCGUGGGGAGCAAACAGG